rnacentral:rRNA from 1 species
GACGAACGCUGGCGGCGUGCUUAACACAUGCAAGUCGAACGGAAAGGCCCUGCUUUUGUGGGGUGCUCGAGUGGCGAACGGGUGAGUAACACGUGAGUAACCUGCCCUUGACUUUGGGAUAACUUCAGGAAACUGGGGCUAAUACCGGAUAGGAGCUCCUGCUGCAUGGUGGGGGUUGGAAAGUUUCGGCGGUUGGGGAUGGACUCGCGGCUUAUCAGCUUGUUGGUGGGGUAGUGGCUUACCAAGGCUUUGACGGGUAGCCGGCCUGAGAGGGUGACCGGCCACAUUGGGACUGGAAUACGGCCCAGACUCCUACGGGAGGCAGCAGUGGGGAAUAUUGCACAAUGGGAGGAAGCCUGAUGCAGCAACGCCGCGUGCGGGAUGACGGCCUUCGGGUUGUAAACCGCUUUCGCCUGUGACGAAGCGUGAGUGACGGUAAUGGGUAAAGAAGCACCGGCUAACUACGUG